rnacentral:rRNA from 1 species
UACGGAGGGUGCAAGCGUUAAUCGGAAUUACUGGGCGUAAAGCGCACGCAGGCGGUCUGUCAAGUCGGAUGUGAAAUCCCCGGGCUCAACCUGGGAACUGCAUUCGAAACUGGCAGGCUAGAGUCUUGUAGAGGGGGGUAGAAUUCCAGGUGUAGCGGUGAAAUGCGUAGAGAUCUGGAGGAAUACCGGUGGCGAGGGCGGCCCCCUGGACAAAGACUGACGCUCAGGUGCGAAAGCGUGGGGAGCAAACAGG